UACGGGGGGGGCAAGCGUUGUUCGGAAUUACUGGGCGUAAAGGGCUCGUAGGCGGCCAACUAAGUCAGACGUGAAAUCCCCAGGCUCAACCUGGGAACUGCGUCUGAUACUGGAUGGCUUGAAUCCGGGAGAGGGAUGCGGAAUUCCAGGUGUAGCGGUGAAAUGCGUAGAUAUCUGGAGGAACACCGGUGGCGAAGGCGGCAUCCUGGACCGAGAUUGACGCUGAGGCGCGAAAGCCAGGGGAGCAAACGGG
rnacentral:rRNA from 1 species